rnacentral:rRNA from 1 species
GACGAGGGGUCCAAGCGUUGUUCGGAAUCAUUGGGCGUAAAGCGGGUGUAGGUGGAUCUGUAAGUCAGGAGUGAAAGCCCCGAGCUUAACUUGGGAAGUGCUUUUGAUACUGCAGAUCUUGAAUGUGGGAGAGGAUCGUGGAAUUCCAGGUGUAGUGGUGAAAUACGUAGAUAUCUGGAGGAACACCGGUGGCGAAGGCGGCGAUCUGGCCCAGCAUUGACACUGAGACCCGAAAGCGUGGGGAUCAAACAGG